UGUUAUGUACACAUAUAGCUAUCCCUCUUACCACUUACUGUCUCUCUUCAUUACAGGUAAACAUGUCGUGGUUUCCUGUUCUGCUUUUGCUUGGGGCAUUGGCUCUCACACACGUUGUGGAAGCCGCACAGGUCCGCUCCAUGUGCCCAAAUGGAUGGUUCUACUACAAGGCAAAUUGCUAUGGCUAUUUCCGGUACCCUCUGAGCUGGUCUGAUGCCGAGUUUGACUGCCAAGCCUAUGGACACGGUGCCCACUUGGCCUCCAUAUUAGACUCUUCGGAAGCUGACAUCAUUGCCUCUCAUAUAUCUGCCUAUCAGAAGACCCAUCCGGUGUGGAUCGGACUGCAUGACCCGGAGCAGAAUCGCCGCUGGAAGUGGAACGACGGAUCCAUGUACAACUUUCGCUCGUGGAUGACAGGACAACCGGACAAUGCCCAGUCAUCGGAGUACUGCGGCGAGCUGUCGUGUAAAGAGAAAUUCUUGAAGUGGAAUGACAGUAAUUGUAAAGCUGAAAAGCAUUACGUGUGUAAAUUUAAACCCUAAGAAGCUCCCAGUCCCGACAGUCCCCUACCUCCAAGAUCGAAAUCAUCUGAAGAGCUCUAUCAAUGGUCUCUUCAUGGAGAACAGGAUCCCUGGGACACGACCUUGAAGAACAUCUAAAAGCCCUUAUCGACAGGAGCUACUCCAAGUAGAAGAGACAGGACCACGGAGGAGGAGGACCAAGCGAGACCCCCAUUAAUACAUUUAAUUGCAAAUAAAGAUUUAGCCUAAAAAAAAAAAAAAAAAAAAAGAA